AAAUUGAAGAGUUUGAUCAUGGCUCAGAUUGAACGCUGGCGGCAGGCCUAACACAUGCAAGUCGAACGGUAACAGGAAGCAGCUUGCUGAUUCGCUGACGAGUGGCGGACGGGUGAGUAAUGUCUGGGAAACUGCCUGAUGGAGGGGGAUAACUACUGGAAACGGUAGCUAAUACCGCAUAAUGUCGCAAGACCAAAGAGGGGGACCUUCGGGCCUCUUGCCAUCGGAUGUGCCCAGAUGGGAUUAGCUAGUAGGUGGGGUAACGGCUCACCUAGGCGACGAUCCCUAGCUGGUCUGA
rnacentral:rRNA from 1 species